rnacentral:tRNA from 1 species
GGCCUCGUAGCUCAGCUGGCAGAGCAUGCGCGUACAAACAUAGGGGGCGUCCAUGCGUGAGUUCGAAUCCCACCGAGGCUA